rnacentral:rRNA from 1 species
UACGUAGGCAGCAAGCGUUGUUCGGAGUUACUGGGCGUAAAGGGUGCGUAGGCGGCUUUUUAAGUUUGGUGUGAAAUCUCCCGGCUCAACUGGGAGGGUGCGCCGAAUACUGAGAGGCUAGAGUGUGGGAGAGGAAAGUGGAAUUCCUGGUGUAGCGGUGAAAUGCGUAGAUAUCAGGAGGAACACCGGUGGUGUAAACGGCUUUCUGGACCAUAAACUGACGCUGAGGCACGAAAAGCGUGGGGUAGCAAACAGG